rnacentral:rRNA from 1 species
AAUGAACGUUGGCGGCGUGGAUUAGGCAUGCAAGUCGAGCGAGAAGGUUCCGUUCGGGAACUGGACAGCGGCGAAAGGAGAGUAACGCGUAGAUAUCUACCCUAAGGACCGGGAUAGCGGCGGGAAACUGCCGGUAAUACCGGAUAACAUCUCCGGAUCAAAGGUGUGAUUCCGCCUUAGGAUGAGUCUGCGUCCUAUUAGCUUGUUGGUGUGGUAACGGCGCACCAAGGCAAAGAUGGGUACCGGGUGUGAGAGCAUGGCCCGGCUCACUGGGACUGAGACACUGCCCAGACACCUACGGGUGGCUGCAGUCGAGAAUCUUCGGCAAUGGGCGAAAGCCUGACCGAGCGACGCCGCGUGCGGGAUGAAGGCCUUCGGGUUGUAAACCGCUGUCAGUUGGGAGCAAAUCUCUUGGGGUUAUCCCCUUGAGUUGAGCUAUCUUCAGAGGAAGUACGGGCUAAGUUCGCG